rnacentral:rRNA from 1 species
GUCCGUGCACGAGACACGCUGGCGGCGUGCCUAAUACAUGCAAGUCGAGCGGAUUGAUGGGAGCUUGCUCCCUGAUAUCAGCGGCGGACGGGUGAGUAACACGUGGGCAACCUGCCUAUAAGACUGGGAUAACUUCGGGAAACCGGAGCUAAUACCGGAUAAUCCCUUUCCUCUCAUGAGGAAAGGCUGAAAGAUGGUUUACGCUAUCACUUAUAGAUGGGCCCGCGGCGCAUUAGCUAGUUGGUGAGGUAACGGCUCACCAAGGCAACGAUGCGUAGCCGACCUGAGAGGGUGAUCGGCCACACUGGGACUGAGACACGGCCCAGACUCCUACGGGAGGCAGCAGUAGGGAAUCUUCCGCAAUGGACGAAAGUCUGACGGAGCAACGCCGCGUGAGUGAUGAAGGUUUUCGGAUCGUAAAACUCUGUUGUUAGGGAAGAACAAGUACGAGAGUAAUUGCUCGUACCUUGACGGUACCUAACCAGAAAGCCACGGCUAACUACGUG